GGUUAUUGCUGGACAAAUCCAGAUAUUCAAGACUAGACAGUUUCCAGAAAGUUUCGUUGUCCAUUCCUUCAUUAGUCAAGUAGUUAUUCUGUAAGUACAGCUCCCGCAGGCCUGUAAGUUCACUGAAGGCUCCUUUGGGAAUCUUCUCUAGCUUGUUGUUCUUUAAAUGCAAUUUGUAUAAUGCUGGAGGGAGAUUCUUCGGAACAUAUUUCAGGAAAUUGCUGGAC
rnacentral:lncRNA from 1 species